rnacentral:rRNA from 1 species
GACGAACGCUGGCGGCGUGCUUAACACAUGCAAGUCGAACGGAAAGGCCCUGCUUUUGUGGGGUGCUCGAGUGGCGAACGGGUGAGUAACACGUGAGUAACCUGCCCUUGACUUUGGGAUAACUUCAGGAAACUGGGGCUAAUACCGGAUAGGAGCUCCUGCUGCAUGGUGGGGGUUGGAAAGUUUCGGCGGUUGGGGAUGGACUCGCGGCUUAUCAGCUUGUUGGUGGGGUAGUGGCUUACCAAGGCUUUGACGGGUAGCCGGCCUGAGAGGGUGACCGGCCACAGUGGGACUGAGAUACGGCCCAGACUCCUACGGGAGGCAGCAGUGGGGAAUAUUGCACAAGGGGCGGAAGCCUGAUGCAGCAACGCCGCGUGCGGGAUGACGGCCUUCGGGUUGUAAACCGCUUUCGCCUGUGACGAAGCGUGAGUGACGGUAAGGGGUAAAGAAGCACCGGCUAACUACGUGC